ACGUGUGGGCGGGAGCUUGGGGCCGGUCUCAAGCGCCUGGCCCCGCGCAUGCGCUCUCUGGGCCACCGCCGUGGUCGUGCCGUGGGAGGACAAGAUGGUGGAGCCCCUGGUGACGCCUCCGAACGACUUGAUGCCGGCCCUGGACCGUGAAGGCACGGGAGAGCUGUCUCCCUACCAGAGAUUGAGCCAGCGAAUGCAGGACGUCACUGGAGACAGGGGGGUGUUAAAGGAGGUCAUCCGUGAAGGAGCCGGAGACUUGGUGAUGCCCGAUGCCUCUGUGUUGGUGAAAUACUCUGGGUAUCUGGAGCACAUGGACAAGCCCUUUGACACCAACUGCUUUAGGAAGAUCCCUCGACUAAUGAAACUUGGAGAAGAGAUAACCCUGUGGGGAAUGGAGGUGGGCCUGUUAACGAUGCGCAAAGGCGAAUUGGCCCGAUUUCUCUUCAAACCUCGCUAUGCCUACGGGGCUCUGGGCUGUCCACCCUUGAUUCCGCCCAACACCACGGUCCUGUUUGAAUUGGAGCUGCUGGACUUCCUGGACUCUGCCGAGUCAGACAAAUUCUUCGCCUUAACUGCUAAGCAGCAGGACGUGUUUCCUCUCGAGAAGGUGCUGAAGGUGGCUGGCACAGAGCGUGAAUUUGGCAACUACCUCUUUCGCCAGAAUCGCUUUCACGAUGCCAAGGAGAGAUACAAAAGGGCCUCCUCGAUUCUUUGCCGAAGGCCUUUUCACCCUGGGGAACAGGGUCAAAUAGAGAGCGCCAAGCUCCUCGUCUUCCUUAACCUGUCCUUCACUUACCUCAAGUUGGAACGACCCACCCGGGCCCUGGUCUAUGGAGAGCAAGCCUUGGCUAUCGAUCAGAAGAAUGCUAAGGCCCUCUUCAGAUGUGGACAGGCUUGUCUCAUCAUGACUGAAUACAAGAGAGCCCGGGAUUUCCUCGUCCGAGCCCAGAGAGAACAGCCUUUAAAUCAUGACAUCAACAAGGAGCUGAAGAAGCUAGCCAGCUGUUACAGACACUACAUGGACAAAGAGAAGGAAAUGUGCUGCCGAAUAUUUUCUCCUCUCCAUUCCUCUGCUGUGCAACAGAACUGAAGCCAAUGACACCUCGUCCUGACUUCCCAAUGGUGUUGGUGGGAACCGGCUCACUGCUUGUGCCUUUGAAAAGGAAAGCCCAUGAGUGGUUUGGCCAGAGAUGCUUGGAUUUAUAUGGUGUUUCUCAACCCACAUUUACUCUCAUGGGUGUAAGGGAGGCUAAGUAGCAAUUAUUGGCCCCCUCUGACGGAUGGAGAAACUUAAGGAAGUGAGUGAUUGGGUCAUGCAGCGAAGACCCCAGGCUUUGGCCCCUGGACACCCCGCUCCCCUCAGAGCUGAAGAACAGCAGCCUUCUCCCCUCAGAGGCAGAAGAAACCGGAGUUGGGGGGGACCUCCUGGUUGCUCCCACCAACACCUACUUCAAGGGUCUUCCUUCAGAGGGUUCACUGAAAUGGAUCGCCCACAGCUGGGUUUUAAGCUCUAGGUGGACCUUACCUGUUGACUGACUGACCGCUGCAGCACUUUGGACUGUCCUGAACCUUUCAGAGAGCCAAUGCCUCCUUGUCUCAGAGAAGCCAAGGCCACUUUAUUCCCUGCCCAUUACUUUCCAUGCCGUUGGAGGGAGGGUGUCAUCCAUUGAAGAUGCAUCUGUCUGAGAUGAAGAACCAGAGGAAUUGACGAGUGGACAGAAGAGGGAAGUGACAGAUUCCCGCAGCCUGCGUGCCCAUGAUGAGUCAGUGGUUAGGACCACAGAGAGUUCCAAGUGUCCCCAUUCCAAGGCUAGCAACCUCAUCCCUCCUUCCUACAGACCAGUUCAGCCCCUGGGGCCGGGGCUUCAGCUGAGCCGGUUGCGAGACCGUGCUAUAGAUGCUGAAGGGGGUCCGAAGCACGAUAAUUAAUAGAUGUUUACUGUCUGGUAGGGGAGAUGAGAGUCACAGGUGCUAUUUAGCAGUUUAGGAAGUGAGCCACGGAAGACAGUAAAAAGUGGGCUGUGAGCUCGGCUUGGAAGGGUGAGGGGAAGCCUAGUGGUCUCUGCCCCCCAAACAUGUGUGAAUCCCUGGCCAGGGCCACCAUUUCUUGAGUCACUCAGGGCGUGACUCCUGCCCCAAUCCUUGUUCUAGGAUGAACUUCUGUGCCUUCCUUGAGAACAGCCUAACUACUCCCCUUCCUGCCAUCCCCCCACAAGCUGCCCAUUGGAUAUUGUCUUCUCUCUCGGGAAUGUGAACUCCCAGAAUCGGACUCUCUUUUUGCUUUGUAUUCACAUACCCGGUGUCUGACACAUUUAUAUGUUAUCUCUCCAGUGAAGUGAGUGUAGAAGGUGAGGGAAGGUCUGCACAUGAAGACCAUUGACUUGGACUGGAGGGCUUAUGAGGGAGAUGUGGAAGGUAAUUGGGAGCAGUUGGGUCCUGGGAUCUGGAGCUGGAUAAGAUCUUAGAGAUGUGCAAGAGCCCAAGGUCACACAAGAAGCAAACAACAGAGCCAGGAUUCAAACCCAGAUCUUACGACUGGGAGCUAAGCCCCGAGUCAGAAAGACUUGAGUUCAGAUGUGACCACAGGCACUUACUAGCUGUGUGACUCAUGUAUAACUGAGAUC